UUAACUUGUUUUGUUAAAGUGUUUUCAGACAUAAGACUGUUCAUGGUAUCAAAAAUAGUUUUUGAGUAAAAAAAGGGAGGGUUCACAUGUGUGGUAUGAGAUGACCGGACGACGGGAAACUACACACGCCCCCGCUUGUUCAGCGGGGGGGGGUCUCACCGGUCGCCGGAGCUCAAGAGAAGUGUUAAUGAUCCUUCCGCAGGUUCACCUACGGAAA
rnacentral:misc_RNA from 1 species